AGCGAACGCUGGCGGCAGGCCUAAUACACGCAAGUCGAACGGAUCCUUCGGGAUUAGUGGCGGACGGGUGAGUAACACGUGGGAACGUGCCCUUUGGUUCGGAACAACUCAGGGAAACUUGAGCUAAUACCGGAUGUGCCCUUCGGGGGAAAGAUUUAUCGCCAUUGGAGCGGCCCGCGUCUGAUUAGCUAGUUGGUGAGGUAAAGGCUCACCAAGGCGACGAUCAGUAGCUGGUCUGAGAGGAUGAUCAGCCACAUUGGGACUGAGACACGGCCCAAACUCCUACGGGAGGCAGCAGUGGGGAAUCUUGCGCAAUGGGCGAAAGCCUGACGCAGCCACGCCGCGUGAAUGAUGAAGGUCUUAGGAUUGUAAAAUUCUUUCACCGGGGACGAUAAUGACGGUACCCGGAGAAGAAGCCCCGGCUAACUUCGUGCCAGCAGCCGCGGUAAGAC
rnacentral:rRNA from 1 species